rnacentral:rRNA from 1 species
UAAUACGGAUGUGUUCGAUGAUCGCAAGGUCGUCGAGUAAAGUCCAAAAGACGCUCGGGAGGGGCCUAUGUCCUAUCAGCUUGUUGGUGAGGUAAAAGCUCACCAGGCUAUGACGGGUAGCGGGUGUGAGAGCAUGACCCGCCUCACUGGGACUGAGACACUGCCCAGACACCUACGGGUGGCUGCAGUCGAGAAUAUUCCACAAUGGGCGAAAGCCUGAUGGAGCGACGCCGCGUGCAGGAUGAAGGGCUUCGGCUUGUAAACUGCUUUUCUAUGGGACGAACUUCGGUGACGGUACCAUGGGAAUAAGAGGUUGCUAACUCUGUGCCAGCAGCAGCGGUAAUACAGAGACCUCAAGCGUUAUCCGGAUUUAUUGGGCGUAAAGCGUCCGCAGACGGUUUGUUAAGUCUUGCGUCAAAUCUCUGGGCUCAACCCAGGGGCUGCGCGAGAAACUGGCAAGCUAGAGGGCGGGAGAGGUAAGCGGAAUUACCGGUGUAGUAGUAAAAUGCGUUAAUAUCGGUAAGAACACCAAAGGCGAAGGCAGCUUACUGGAACACUCCUGACGUUAAGGGACGAAAGCAUGGGUAGCGAAGCGGAUUAGAUACCCGCGUAGUCCAUGCCCUAAACGAUGAUUACUGGAUUUUGGGAGUAUCGACCCUCCCAGAGUCGUCAAAACAAGCUAACGCGUUAAGUAAUCCG